rnacentral:lncRNA from 1 species
UAGUCGGACACUCCAAGGGUCCGCUCCCCUGACCCGCGGUCCCGCAGACUGGAGCAGAGCCGGGCGGGACACAGCCCCACGUCCCCUCUCGGGGCCGUGCUCCGCGCAGAACAGAGAGCGCACCAGCUCGGAAUCAGCUAGCCUCCGCACUCCCUCCUUCAGCUCGAACCCGAGCCGCCCCAAACCCCGGCCAGCGCGCCGGGCUCCCGCUCCAACUCGGAAAGUAGCGGGCGGCGAGGGCCGCGCCCAGAGGCGGCAGGGGGGAAGGGCCGGCGGUACCUGUCAGCAGUUCGAUCUUGUGUCCCAGCACCUUCAUCUCCGCGCUGCGGCGUCGGGGAGCGCGCUCGGCCGAGCCGGCAGAGGAGCGCGGGAGGCGAGGAGCGGAGCAGCAGGAGAGCCAGGAGCGCCAGGAGCCAGGCAGGCGGAGCCGCCGGGAGCCAGGAGCGCUCUCGCCGCCCCCCUCGCCACUCUCCCCCCUCCAAACCCGGUUAAAAAAAUCCACCAAUUGCACGACCGCGCACCCCUAAAAGGCGCGCGCCGCCACCUGGUCGGGGUGAUCUCCGGGAGGCGGAGGGAGCGCGCGGGCUGGGUGCGGGUGACACUCCCGGCGGCGGCGGGAGGGGGGGCCCCGGGGCCUGUUGCCCGAACAAAGAGGCCUUGCGGCCCGCGCCUCCCCCACAGCGACACCCGGGGGUCCCCGCGUCUGGCUGGGAGGGUGUGCCGACCUCGUAAGCCAAAGAUGCCCCUCUUUGGAGGCACAGGAGAGUGA